rnacentral:misc_RNA from 1 species
GAUGAAGAACGUAGUGAAAUGCGAUAAGUAAUGUGAAUUGCAGAAUUCAGUGAAUCAUCGAAUCUUUGAACGCAUCUUGCGCUCCUUGGUAUUCUGAGGAGCAUGCCUGUUUGAGUGUCAUUAAAUUCUCAACUACACUGACUUUGAAUUGGUGUGGCUUGGAUUUGGGGGGAAAAUUGUUGUGGGCUUUUUGUAUAGUCUGCUCCCCUGAAAUUGAUUAGCGGUACCUUUGUGGAACUGUCUACAGGUGUGAUAAUUAUCUACAUCUUAGACAUCUGCUGGAAUGCUGCUCUCUAAACCUUACUUGUAUUGACAAUCUUGACCUCAAAUCAGGUAGGACUACCCGCUGAACUUAAGCAUAUCAAAAGCGGAGGA